AUCAAGGCCUCCGCGCCGUUUCCAUUGGUCGGGGAAGGUUUCGCCCCGCCCGUGCGCGGGGCCAGGGCCGGCGGGGUGCCUCGCAGGUUGAUGGACAAGGGGUAGCCGUAGGGGGCCGGCGCGCGGCUCUCUCAGGCGCUCUACUCCGCUUGUCGCGCCGCUCCCUCCCUCUCUCGCUUUGGUCCUGACACGCGCCGCGGCGUCACGCGCGAGGGGCGCCCCCGGGGUCUCGAGGAUCGUCCGCGCGCUGCCCGAAGCCCCCGCGCGACCCACGCUCGUGCAGCCCGGGGUAUAUUGGUUUGAAAAGGGAACAUCACAAGCAACCCAAGAGUGAAGUCAGAUAAGAAAAAUCAGCUGUUCGAGCAGCCAUGCCCCACUUCUUGGAUUGGUUUGUGCCAGUGUAUCUGAUGAUCUCCAUUCUCAUCUUGGUGGGCUUCGGAGCUUGCAUAUACUACUUUGAGCCGGGCCUACAGGAGGCCCACAAGUGGCGGACACAAAGGCCGAUCAUGGAACGAGAUCUUCGGAAAACACUGAUGAUACGGGAUAACCUUGCCUUUGGGGUGCCUGAGGUCUAGUAUUCUGCGAGUGGGGUGUUUCUAGAAAAACAGCCAAACAGAGCCUUUUCUGGGUGGGCCCUGGCUAACAAGGUUUGGUCUGAAUGCACGUUUCUCCUCACUCAGGAGAGAAUCUUCUACUGUCUGGUGACUGAAGAAGGGUAGUUUCACUCUUUUGCUGACACAGGUCUCUGUUAAUCACCAGAGUUACCUCUUUUUUUCCUUCUUCUUCUCCAUUUCUGAAGCAAGGUUUGUGCUCCUCUAUUAACUCAAGGCUUUCAGGUCUACCCUAGACAAGAUACUCAUUACUCAGCAAAGGAUCUCCUGCACCACUCCAUGGCCUGGAUUUUUGGAUCCACCAAAGGUAAAGGUCUCUGUUAUUCAUUAUCCAUUAGAGGACACCUGCACCUAUACAUUACCUUUUAAAAAAAAAAUUCUUAUGGGCACCAGAUGAUAGCAGAUAGACUUGAUAUGGGACAUAGAUCCUUUUACUGCUAGGUCACUGGUUUAAAUCUAGUCCAAUUUGCUAGGAUCUGAAAGGUGUUAUUAUCAAAUGCCUCUUUGGUGACUUACGUAAAAUGAAUUUGGUGGCUCUCAGUCCAGUUCUUCUUGGUCAACUGCGCACAUCACAGAAAUCACCGAUGCCACUGAAUUGCUAUCUGUGCUGGGAGUCUCAUUAGAGAGGCCACGGAUUGAAUGAGCCAUGGAGAGUGAAUUCCCUACUCACCCCUAGAGGUGAUUUUCCCAGCUCAGGAGUGAGACACACAGGAGGGGCAAUGGGAGUAAAGAUUGCUUUAUUGGUGCCCAUGUUUGGGGGAUAGAGGACUUCAGUCUCCAGGGCUGUCAAUCUGGUACUUUUAUAAAAUCAUAGAAGAUUAGGGUUGGAAGAGACCUCAGGAGGUCAUCUAGUUCAACCCCCUGCUCAAAGCAGGACCAACUUUCAUGAGCACUAAAUUCUUACACACAAUUUUCAAUUAAGGAGGUCUGUGUGGAUCCUGCCAGGAAAUCUCUUGCAUCUCUCCUUGACCCAGGGCUCUGGAUUUAUCGCAUAAGCCUCAACAGAUUCAUUACUAGACGUUGGAUCUUCUUCACCUGUCCAUGACCCAAGGAUCGAGGAUCCUUUAUUAUGAGUAGACUUGCACUCGUACAGUCCUCUGUCCUACAUCAUUUUUUUGAAAUGGAUCCCUUAGUGCAUCAGUUCUGGUGCUGCACCCUCUUGACUGUCAUCCACACUGAAAACUGUGAAAUGCUCCUUGGAGAACCCUUCACUGUGAAUCUCUGGUAAGGGACACUGAGCCAGACAGGUGGAGAUGGGGCACUACUAAUGACUGUGCUUUCUAGAUUCCACCUGUGUACCUGUGUAUAAUGUGUAUAUGUACACUGUUUUUGCACUUUCCUCCAUGCUUCCCUAGGGCUGAUUUGCUAACAAGGUACUGUAAGAACAUGUGACUCCAUGGGAGAGUGGGAAUCCAGCACCUUUUUCUUCAUUGCGAAUAGCGUGCAAAUCGUAGCUGAUAACACUGGCCCAACUCAGAGCCCAUGACUUGAGGUACUCCACAGCAAGUGCUACUGUGCCACACCUGCUUAGAACUCUAGUAAGACACUGGCUCCUGUUCCAUGGUGCUUUGUAUCUCUGCUGAUCCAUCAUGACCCUGGCUGUUUCUCACUUCCUAUGCUAAUAUGCCCCUAAUACCCCAUUGUCCUCAUUUCUAUACAUAAUAUAUUAUAAAACUUCAGUCUUGACCAGUCAUGCCCAGUUAUCUACAUUCCAUACAGUACCACGGUCAUAUGGCACCGCUGUGCCAUUGUCAGUGCAUUCCAUACCAGUGCAGCACAGCCAUGGCCACCUUUUGAUAUACCCUGCUGCAUAUUUGCCCUUGUUGCCCUAUCGGCCACCCUUCUGUACAUUCUAUACCAUCGUAACACAAUCCCUGCUGCUCUAUUGUGCCCGUCUGUACAUCCAUACCAUACACAAAGUGCUGCUGUUUUGUACAUACUUCAGUACAUUCCAUACCAUCAGACUGCUCUUGGUGCUGGUUCAGUGCUGCGCUCCCUGAUGGCUCCAGUGUGCAGCAAGAGCCAUUAGACGCAGGGGUGCAGACAGGCUCCUCCUCCAUCAUGGCUCCUGGAUCAGCUCACAACAUGUAUAGUCCCUAGGAUGAGAGUUUUGGAGCCAAUGAUCGUUUUCACUGGAAACUGUUGACAGAGCUUUUUCAUCCAUUACUGAAUGAAGGCUGAAGAACAUAUUAUGUCGAUUUAAGCAGGUGACUUGUCAUUGGGGGUUGCUUGGGGAAUAAUGUUUAUGUUAGCAGUGAUGGCUCUGGUACAAAUGGAAACUGUCCUCAGCACCUGGCAAAUGUCGUUGGCCUUUAUUGGCCAUUUCAUCUGCCCUGGUCAGAUGAGGCAUGAUCACCAACACCAAGGUCCCAACUGGUGGGACCUUCUUGGGUCUGUCAGUGUGGGACAGUUGAGUCCCUGCAUUAGACUGGAACAUGGUGAUCUUGAUGCAGAUAUCAUAACAUGGGCCCUGAUUCAGCAAGGUACUGAAGCAUGUGCCUAAAUGUACGCACACGAGUUGUCCUACAUCAGUGGUUCUCAAACUUUUGUACUGGUGACCCCUUUCACAUAGCAAACCUUUGAGUGCGACCCCCCCCAAUAAAUUAAAAAUACUUUAACACCAUUAUAAAUGCUGGAGGCAAAGUGGGAUUUGGGGUAGAGGCUGGCAGCUCGCAACCCCUCAUGUAAUACCCUCACUACCCCCUGAGGGGUCACGACCUCCAGUUUGAGAACCCCUGUCCUACAUGCUUCAGUACCUUGCUGAAUCAAGGGGCAAAUGUCACAGUGCAGCAUCACCGUAUCAUCCGGUAAUGAUUUUGUUCCUCAGUAUGAAUACAGAUAAAUGGCAGCCCUCAAUUACUUUGACAAUAUCUAUUGCCCAAAGGUCACUCAAAAUAAUAAAGCCAUAGUCUUGGAGUUCAACUUAGAGACCUGCUUCUUGGGCUUUGACUGUUGUAACCAGGUGGCUAGGCCACCAAUGCAAAGGGACCCCAGGUUGAGCAACGGGGUAGCAAUAAAAAUCUUUGUACUAGAGGUCAGGAGCUCAGAGAUGUCAGGGACAGAUUAAAAUAUCCCCAUAAGACCGAGGUUCCAUGUUUUGAAAAGACUCAAGUAAGGAAAUCUCUCUCUCUCUCUCUCGUGUUCCCAGUUUCUCUCUCUAUGAAAGAAUCCCUAUUACUGUGUGUAUGGCAGUCAUCCCACAGGUGCAGUCUGCCCUCCAGAAGUGACUGGGAGCCAGUUCAACCACCCACUUACAGUCAUGGGUCUAACUGUUCCUACGGAAAGGGUCAGGAAGGACCCAACCAUACAGACUGACCUCUUCUCUCCACCACGGGCGAUCCCUCCAGCCCUGGAUGGAUGUACGUUGUCAGAAAGUGAUGGGGAGUUUGUACUGUGCUCCAACUCUGUGUGUGAGGGUGGGUGGGAGGGACUCCAGUCUCCAGGAAUGUCACCAGCAUGAACUCCACAAUUGCUAUUGUUUUUUACCAGCAGAACACUCGCCUUCAUAAACUAAGUCAAAAGAAAAAAAAUCAAAAGGAAGUGAGUGAUUGAGUCUUGUGCCAAUGCUCCGUGGGAUGUGGCAGGCAGAAUGAUUGUCUGGAACAGCCCCCACCUUCAGUGUGUGGGGGAAGGCCUAUCUGUGUGUGUCUAUUCUGGCUUGCAAAGGAAUCCCCGCAGACCCCACUCUCUAGGAAACAGUCCUGCUGGAGUAGAGGCUGGACCAAUUGGCCUGUCAUUUCUCUCUCUGUAUCCUCUGGGCCUCUUUCCUGUUCUGUGCCAUUCUCUGUAUGUAGUCUCAAAUGUUUAAUCCCACCUCCCGCAGGCCCUGUAUUAACUGGAUGAAAUUGACCAGAAAGAAAAUUAAUAGUCUGAAAUUGAAGAGAGAACAUUUCCCAACAGUGGGAUCCAUUAGGUCUUGGAAUAGUCUCCCAAGGGAAUUGGUAGAAGCCCUGUCACUUGGGACUUGUUAAAGCUAGACUGGACAAGGCCUUGGAGACUCUAGGGAACAAUCCUUCAUGGGCAGGGGGUGGCCUACAUGUGAUCUAGCAAGUAUCUACCAUCUUUAACUUGUAUGAUACCUCUCUCUGUUCAUCACAGUACUGGUGCAUCAGACAGAACACCCCACAUUUAGCCUAAGAGCUAAAAUAAACACAAGCUCCAAAGCUCUGUUUGAUGUUUUUUUGCAGCGUGUGUUUUGGACUGAAUGUUCCUGAUGAAAUUAGCAUUAACAGUUAGGUGUUUUCAACUGUUAACUUGUACUUUAUUCUCAUUAGAGUCAAAAGUCUAUAUAAUAAGUGUAUGUAAUAAAAUAUCUA